UACGUAGGGUGCAAGCGUUAAUCGGAAUUACUGGGCGUAAAGCGUGCGCAGGCGGUUGUGCAAGACAGAUGUGAAAUCCCCGGGCUCAACCCUGGGAACUGCAUCUGUGACUGCAUUGCUGGAGUGCGGCAGAGGGGGAUGGAAUUCCGCGUGUAGCAGUGAAAUGCGUAGAUAUGCGGAGGAACACCGAUGGCGAAGGCAAUCCCCUGGGCCUGCACUGACGCUCAUGCACGAAAGCGUGGGGAGCAAACAGG
rnacentral:rRNA from 1 species